rnacentral:piRNA from 1 species
UUUAUCAUUGAAGCGGUUUGUUCCACUCC